GGGCGGCAGGGUAGCCUAGUGGUUAGAGUGUAGGGGCGGCAGGGUAGCCUAGUGGUUAGAGUGGAGGGGUGGCAGGGUAGCCUAGUGGUUAGAGUGUAGGGGCGGCAGGUAGCCUAGUGGUUAGAGUGUAGGGGCGGCAGGUAGUCUAGUGGUUAGAGUUUGGAGGCGGCAGGUAGCCCAGUGGUUAGAGUGUAGGGGCGGCAGGGUAGCCUAGUGGUUAGAGUGUAGGGGCAGCAGGGUAGCCUAGUGGUUAGAGUGUAGGGGCAGCAGGGUAGCCUAGUGGUUAGAGUGUAGGGGCGGCAGGGUAGCCUAGUGGUUAGAGUGUAGAGGGGCAGGGUAGCCUAGUGGUUAGAGUGUAGAGGAGGCAGGGUAGCCUAGUGGUUAGAGUGUAGGGCGGCAGGGUAGCCUAGUGGUUAGAGUGUAGGGGCGGCAGGGUAGCCUAGUGGUUAGAGUGUAGAGGGGGCAGGGUAGCCUAGUGGUUAGAGUGUAGAGGGGGCAGGGUAGCCUAGUGGUUAGAGUGUAGGGGCGGCAGGUAGCCUAGUGGUUAGAGUGUAGGGGCGGCAGGGUAGCCUAGUGGUUAGAGUGUAGAGGAGGCAGGGUAGCCUAGUGGUUAGAGUGUAGGGCGGCAG
ensembl:lncRNA